CUCUGCGCCAUGGGGGGGGGGGGCAGGUUGAGGGAGGCUUAAAAGUGAGGCUGAAGAUUUCGAAUAAAGUUUUUUCCUUCGACUGCAGUUACCGACUCCGUGUCGUAAUUUUAGCGCUGCGUGUAGCACACCGCUACAUGGUCAGUAUUUAAUUAAAAUGUAUUUUAUGUUAGUUUGUUAGUUUUUGAAAUGUAAAUCUAAAUUUGAAGAUUAUGGUGAUCUUGUACAAUCUAAAUAAGACGUCGUGGCGACCCAUUUCCUGACACAUCCGAACCGGCUCACAAUUAGCCAGCGUUCAGGCUAAGGGAGAUAGCCUACGGGGGUUUGUGAGUACGUGUCUUUUGCAGCAUCCGCGCCCAUGGGGGGCGGGUUGAGGGAGGCUUAAAAGCAAGGCUGUUUAGUUCGAAUAAAGCUAUCUUUGACUGCAGUUUACUGACUGCGUGUAGCACACCGCUACAACGUGUUUUUAUCGCUGGCUGUCCAGAGGGGAGGUGCUGAAACGCUUUGUCGCGUGUCUGGAAGAAGUGAAAACUUUCCUGGGCAGCAAAGGGCUUACCUUUCCUGAGCUGGAACAGCCAGAGUGGCUGGAAAAGCUACACUUCAUGGUAGACAUGACAGCGCACCUGAACACGCUGAACACAGCUCUUCAGGGGAAAGGACGUACAGCCCUGCACAUGUUGGAGGAUGUUUUGGCACUCGAGCGCAAGUUGACGUUGCUUGCCAGAGAUUUACAGAAAGGCACAUUGUCUCACUUCCCCAAUUUGAGAGAGUUCAAACAAGGUCACGACAUGAUAAAUUCGGGGUAUUUACAUUCUGCAAUCAUCGCAAUGCAAACAUCGUUUGGGAAACGCUUCUGUGAGUUCAGAGAGGAAAAAAACACAUUAUCCUUCCCGGUCACUCCCCUAAGCAUCGAUCCAUCCCUACUGAAUACGACUGCAUUGUCAGGUUGACAGCUGGCUGACGUUAUUUUUGGUUUGCUGCUGGCGAACAAUUUAAGUUCGGCGUUUUUCAUAAAUACAAGAAGGACUCAAAUAGACAUUGAGUAUUUUACUUAAAAGUAACCUUCAACCCAACGUCUUUUUUCGGAGUUCAAAAUGUUUUUGUUGCAUGCAGAAAUGUAAUUUCGUUUUCUCUGCAGGAGUUCAUCAAUUUCAUAAAUGCAACACAUUAUAGUUUGUUUAUACAUAGCAUAAAGGCAAAACAAAACGUUGUAUGCAGUGUUAUUUCAUUUUAAAUGUCAAACGGGU